UCCAGGGAGGGGAAAGGGGGCUGAAGUUUGAGUUAAUAACUAAUAGCUAAUGAUGUAAGCAAUAAGCCUUCAUAAAACCCCAAAAGGACUGGGUUCAGAGAGCUUCCAGGUUGUUGACCACAUGGAGGUUCUGGGAGGGUCCACACCCAGAGAAGACAGGAAGCUGACCCCUUCCCCAUACCUUGCUCUUUGCAUCUCUUCCAUUUGGCUGUUCCCAAGUUGUAUACUUUGUAAAAAGUGAGAUUUCCACCCAGCAACAAUUCAGUCACACUGCUUUACACAUCUAGAAUCCAUCCAAAAUUGUAAAGGCUUUGUGGCACUACAGUGAAAGAGGGAAGAACAUCUUCUAAACAUGGCUGCUUGAGUGUCUGCAUGACAUGGCAGCUGGUUCCCUGAAGAGCACAUGAUCCAAAAGCGAGAGCAAGACAGAAGCGCAGUGUCUUUAACAACAUCUUUGAAAGUCAUAUCCCACCGUUUUCACUACAUUCUAUUGGGCCUGGCUGUUCCCACCUCAAACCACUUCUUAGCUUCAUUUGUUCUCAUAACAUCAGGAUAGCCCUUCCUCCUCUGGAGGCCUGGGCAUCAGCAAGUCAGAUGGCAGUGGAAGGUGGAGAAAUGGAAUCCCGCUGGGGGCUCAGGCGGCCUGCCCCCUGAUGCUGCCAUGCACUCUAGAUGUCCUUGAUGAAGAGAAUGAAUGGAAGUUUAAAUGAUGAAACUCUGGGGAUCAGCAUAAAAUAAACCAACUACACUGCACGACAGGGAAGGAGGAAGAAGCUGCGAGAGGCUGGAACAGUUGAGGGAGCGCUGACACGGUAAAGGCCACUUUGCUCACCAUCACCAGGGGCACUGCCGAAAAUUUCCACUCCGUUUUCUCCCAAGACCUUACUCCUACUAUGUGGAGACAUAUUUGAAUAAAAAAUUGCCCUCUUUUAAAAGUCAAAAU